UAUUCUGCCCCACGGGGAAGGAUGAGAAGCUUCGACUAAGGUUCGACUCGAGCGAAGCGAGAGAACGUUGCCGCAGGCAACGGCCCGAAGGGCGAGUAGCGAUAGCGACGAGUUAUCCUUCCCCCACCACCA
rnacentral:sRNA from 1 species